rnacentral:tRNA from 1 species
GGGCCAUAGGCGCAACGGAUAACGCGCUUGACUACGGUUCAGGAGAUUUCAGGUUCGAAUUCUGGCUGGUUCA